AUCUAUCUGUCUGUCUGUCUGUCUGUCUGUCUGUCUAUCUGUCUGUCUGUCUUAGAUAGACAGACAGGCGGGCGGACGGACGGACGGAGGGAUGGAUAGUA
rnacentral:pre_miRNA from 1 species